AGAGCGAACGCUGGCGGCAGGCCUAAUACAUGCAAGUCGAACGCACCUUCGGGUGAGUGGCGGACGGGUGAGUAACACGUGGGAACGUGCCUUUUGGUUCGGAAUAAUCCGGGGAAACCUGGCCUAGUACCGGAUGUGCCCUUCGGGGGAAAGAUUUAUCGCCAUUAGAGCGGCCCGCGUCUGAUUAGCUAGUUGGUGAGGUAACGGCCCACCAAGGCGACGAUCAGUAGCUGGUCUGAGAGGAUGAUCAGCCACACUGGGACUGAGACACGGCCCAGACUCCUACGGGAGGCAGCAGUAGGGAAUCUUGCGCAAUGGGCGAAAGCCUGACGCAGCCAUGCCGCGUGAAUGAUGAAGGUCUUAGGAUUGUAAAAUUCUUUCAGCGGGGAAGAUAAUGACUGUACCCGCAGAAGAAGCUCCGGCUAACUUCGUGCCAGCAGCCGC
rnacentral:rRNA from 1 species